GUCGUCGUGGCCGAGUGGUUAAGGCGAUGGAUUAGAAAUCCAUUUUUUAUUCUUCCCGCGUAGGUUCGAAUCCUACCGGCGACG